AGUCGAGCGACAGACGAGGAGCUUGCUCCUCUGACGUUAGCGGCGGACGGGUGAGUAACACGUGGAUAACCUACCUAUAAGACUGGGAUAACUUCGGGAAACCGGAGCUAAUACCGGAUAAUAUAUUGAACCGCAUGGUUCAAUAGUGAAAGACGGUUUUGCUGUCACUUAUAGAUGGAUCCGCGCCGCAUUAGCUAGUUGGUAAGGUAACGGCUUACCAAGGCAACGAUGCGUAGCCGACCUGAGAGGGUGAUCGGCCACACUGGAACUGAGACACGGUCCAGACUCCUACGGGAGGCAGCAGUAGGGAAUCUUCCGCAAUGGGCGAAAGCCUGACGGAGCAACGCCGCGUGAGUGAUGAAGGUCUUCGGAUCGUAAAACUCUGUUAUUAGGGAAGAACAAAUGUGUAAGUAACUAUGCACGUCUUGACGGUACCUAAUCAGAAAGCCACGGCUAACUACGUGCCAGCAGCCGCGGUAAUACGUAGGUGGCAAGCGUUAUCCGGAAUUAUUGGGCGUAAAGCGCGCGUAGGCGGUUUUUUAAGUCUGAUGUGAAAGCCCACGGCUCACCCGUGGAGGGUCA
rnacentral:rRNA from 1 species